GCUGGGCAUGGUGGCGCGUGCCUGUAAUCCCAGCUACUUGGGAGGCUGAGGCAGGGGAAUUGCUUGAGCCCAGGAGGUGGAGGUUGCAGUGAGCCAAGAUUGCACCAUCGCACUCCAGCCUGGGCAACAGAGUCAGACUCCAUCUCAA
rnacentral:SRP_RNA from 1 species